GAUGAACGCUAGCUACAGGCUUAACACAUGCAAGUCGAGGGGUAGCAGGGUAGCAAUACCGCUGACGACCGGCGCACGGGUGAGUAACACGUAUCCAACCUUCCCAUAACUCGGGGAUAGCCUUUCGAAAGAAAGAUUAAUACCCGAUAGUACUUUAUUAAGGCAUCUUAAGAAAGUUAAAGAUUUAUUGGUUAUGGAUGGGGAUGCGUUCCAUUAGAUAGUUGGUGAGGUAACGGCUCACCAAGUCGUCGAUGGAUCGGGGUUCUGAGAGGAAUGUCCCCCACAUAGGUACGGAGACACGGACCAAACUCCUACGGGAGGCAUAAGUGAGAAAUUAUGGUCAAUGGGCGAGAGCCUGAACCAGCCAAGUAGCGUGAAGUAAGCCGGCCCUAUGGGUUGUAAACUGCUUUUCCAGGGGGGGAAACUUGCGUACGCGUUGCGCAAUUGGCGGUACCCUGGGAAUAAGCAUCGGCUAACUCCGUGCCAGCCGCCGCCGUAACAC
rnacentral:rRNA from 1 species